ACUGUACCUACCCAAAGCAUGGUGGCUUAAGUUACUUUUCUAUUUCUGGAAUAAACUAAAAUGACCAAGGCAACUAAUAGAAGAAACUGAGGACUUACAUUUUGAACUCCAAGCAUGAAGCAGAGGGAAUGAACCAGAAAUGGUGUGAAUCUUUACACUUUCAAAGCUGCCCCUAGUGCCAAACCUCCUCCAACACGGCCAUACCUAAGCUUCCCAAACAGUGUUACCAACUGGGGACCAAGUACUCCCACGUUCAAGGCGAUGAAGGACAUCUUAUUCAAACCAUCACACGGCUCAAAUCUAUAAUUCAAUUCAGGAUUCUGAGGCAGGAGGACUGCUCUGAAUUCAAGACCAGUUAGGCUACAUAGCAAGAUUCUGUCUCAAAAAAGAGCAAGAAAGAACAUACUGAAGAUAGCAGGCCCCACACAAGACUGCACUGUUCUCAGAGGGCAUGUGCGUGCUCAAGGAGAAAGGUCCUGACCAGGUGACCCGGUCACUACUACAGACCAUGAUCUCAAAGAGUCCAGUCCAGUCCACAGCAACCUGAGAACAGAACAGAGGAUGGACUGGGAGUCGAGAGGUCCAAGUGACAGUCCAUUCCAGUGGCUUUCCCUCUUGGGAUCUUUUUCUGAACAUGAACAGCUGGGAUGUAUGAGGUCAAUCAGAGACACUCUGGUCUGAGGGUGUGAUUACCUCUGUCUCUGCAGCCCCUCCCAGUGAUGAAAUGGUUCCAGUCAUGGGCAAAGAUGUGGGUCUGGAUGCAGUGGACUAGAGCUUAAGUCCUGGCUCUAACACCAACACUGGGCAUUCAGAGCCAUUGGUUUUCUCUCCUGUAAGCUGCUGCAAUGCUAAGCCUGUUCAAGACUCAAGAGACAACUAACCCAUUCCUCCAUAAAUUCACCUCUCCCUGCUGGCUCCCCCAGGCUCCCCCUGCUCACCCUACUGGCUUUCUCAGACUCCCUCUGCUCACCCUGCCUGCUCCCCCAGGUCCCCCCUGCUCACCCUGCUGGCUCCCUGAGGUUCUCUUGGUAAACUCUGCUCACCCAGCUGGUUCCUGAGUCUUCCCUUUAGGAAGCUCUGGUCUCUGUGUUCCUGGCACUUUAGAAUUCCCACCAGCCAUGAAGAACUGGUGUCCUAUUUACACAGGAGCUGAAGUCUCAAGAAGGUAAGUGACCCUGAAGGUCACCGACCACAAGGAAGCGAGCAAGAGUUCAAAUGCAAGCCUCUGCAUCUGGCCUGGCCAACUUCAUUCUGUCUUGCUCCUUUCUGAAAACUCUGUUGUCCCCAUGAGAGUGACUGUCCCUCCUGUUCUUCCAAAUCAUCAUCUUUACCCACAGGCACGUUCUGGAGGACAUGACAGUCUCCUGAGAGGAUUGUAACACACUUCAUAACUGUUCCAUCCUGUCACCAUAUCAAAAUCCAGGGAGUUUCAUUUCUUCCCAUUUGUCUCAGAGAGGCACCUGCACCAUCUGGAUUGACCAACAGCCUUCCAACCACCUGACACUUUCUAGUCUUCAUCCUCUAGCCCGGAGUCCCUGGAACCUGUGUUAGUAGUGGUGGCCACAUGCUCAUCUUCCUCUGCUCCCUUGACCUGGCAUUUUUAGACAGUUGCAGCCACCUGGGAUAAAGGCGGCAGUUGCUGCUUAGGUCAGCUUCACUCUGCUGUCUGUCCAGGUUGGUGUGAAACUUGUGACCCUCUUGUCCUGCCCGCUCCCACAUCAGGUUUUAAGGCUGUUCUUUUUCAAAUGCGCACCUCAGCAUAACCACACAACUGAAGAGUCACACACUCAGUGUUUAGGGACUUUCUUUAAAAUGCCUUCUCCUUCCCAUGCUAACGACUCGAAAGUGAAGAGCCACCAGGACUGUGACUAACAGGAAGCAACAGGUCCCUGAAAACACAAACUUCCACCCUGCCCUGUGCUCAUUUCUGCAGGCAGCAUGCAGCUUGCUGAGGCUUCCUGUUCUUUCCUCUUUGGCUCAGCUCCUCUUCUAACCUCAGCGUCUCUCCUAAUCCUCAGAUCCACGUUUCUGGGUGUUACGGCACAUCCACACACAUGCUCUCCUGGGACACAGAACUCUAGAUUUAGCGACUUCCCAUGUUUACUGGUUACAUAAGACUUUCUCAGCCAGGCUAGACACCUCCCAGUCUCCCUCAGCACUCAGCCCUUGCUCAUCCACACUUGGCGACACCCUCCUGUCAUCCCACCCCUUCCUCCUCCCCAGGGCUUCCUCUCCUCCCUCCAGGACAGUUCUAGUUACCCUCGGAGACUCCUGAAGGUCCUGGCUGCCAGCUACCCUGCCUCCGGCCUCUCCCAGCCGAGACUCCCGAGUUCUCUCUUUCUAAAGGGCAGCUCCUGUGCUGUCCACCCCUCCUAACAGUACUGCUCUGUCCCUGGAAUAAAGGCUGACAUUUGAGAGCCAACACUCUAUGACAAGUUCCCUUUGUUCCAGCCAAACUGGAGUGCUGGCCAAGCUCCAGGCAACACUCCCCUUCCCCCCUCCGCCCCACCGUUAAGUGUGCCACACCCCUGCCUGGAACCUCUGCUCAGCUCCUUCCCCAGUCUUGCCUACUGAGUUGAAUCCUCAAUUUCAGGGCUUAGCUCAGACCUUCUCUUUGUAAAACUAUCUCUGAUUUCUUACAGGGACAUAAUUUGUCUCCCUUUUGAAUGUCAAACUGCUUUUCUUUUUAUCUCUUUCAUAUGAAUUUAACACAUUCUGCCCCUUUCAACUGUUUUCUGUAUUUAUCACACAUGUCCACGUCUAUAAACAGCUGUCAAAGCAUCGCGUGGAAGGAAAUACAGGGAAAGUCAACCAGAGGGAAAGUCAACUGUUCCAACCCCAAAGCAGCAGCAGUGGGAGGCACGUGGUCCCAGCCUGGCUGUGUCAGGAGCCUAAGUUAGAGGCUGGGGAGCAGCUGCCGCUGUGGCUCUGCCACGCUGCCUGUUUACACACUCGGUCAUGCACACUUCUGCCGGGAAAAGCUGCCUGGACUUUGAGCUCACGCUGAGCCCUCCUGGCUCCUUGCUCUGUGCUAUCAAGCCUGGGAAGCGGUCGCUGCACUUGUGAGUGAUCACGGCCUCUGGACUUGGUGUAGCCUCCGGCUCUGUGCAUCUGAAGGAGGAAACUCAGCAGCAAGAAAGCGACAGACUUAAUCACAAGCAGCAUGUGGGAGUGAUGCCAGCAACAGGGUAGGUAGCCUGACCUUCAGUGAUUGUAAAACGCUAUAAGAAUCUUGUUUGAUAAGCAGGGUGCCACCACCCCUGGGGGAGCAUUCCGAAUACUAGGGGGCGUCUGGAGUUAAACACUGAUGGGAAGCACAGCAACAGCCCAGUCACACUGGUCCUGUGUUUGCGACAGUUUGAAUCACAAAGGAUCCCUACUCGCCUAGAAUGGGCCUCGGUCUUGGAGAGCAGGAAAGCUGAGCCUGUUGCAGCAGCACAGGAGAAUUUCCACCAGAGACGUUGUUCACGCCCACGGAACUGGAAAAACCCAGCCGCAGGAGAGAGUGUUAGCGGAUCCUUGAGGCAGAAAACGCAUGUCCCCCCCAAAGCGGAAGGCCCACACGGCACUUAUGACAGCUUUAGGGAUAUCCCUCUGUGGUUCAAGUGUCUCAAACACAGGGCCAGUGUGACCGAGGCAUUCUGUCUGAACGCUCUCUGUGCGUUUCUGUCAGUCUUUGUUCAUGUCCCAUGUUUGGCCUCGGGCUUGCACGGCAUGUGCUGACUGACCCAGCCCCCACUGCUAAUUUUAUUUUUUUUUCUUGAAGAACUGUCUUUUAAUUUAUAUAUAUGUAUCUUUAUGAGUAUAUGCCAUGUGUAUGCAGGUGCUCAAAAGGGCCAGAAGAGGGUACUGGACCCCUGGAACUGGAUAAGGUGGUUGUGAGCAGGCUGAUGUGGGUUCCAGGAAGCACAGUCUUAACCAGGAGCCUCUCCAGCCCCACUGUCUGGCGGGGUCCCCGGGACUGUGACAGUGCACGGGGCAGGCGCAGGCUGGCGGGGUUGGGCUGGUGGGUGGGGUGGCCUCCUCGCUUCCUUCUGCUGGUAGAAAAACACAACUGUGUACACAGCAUGCCUGCAGCAACACAACUCCCAACAGAAGAGCCCUGGGGACACGCACAGCCACAGCUGGAAAUGAAAACUGAGGGGGGGCGGGUCGGCAGCGGUGAAGAAAGAAGAGCCCAGCACUUAGGGACCAAGACAAACUGGACCCAUGAUCUGCAGACAGGUACAAAAAGCAAAUUCUCAAGGCCACAUGUGACUCCUUCUGGCUAGCUCACAGCCACCCCUGCAUGAAGACAGCGCAUGUCUGAGGCGGCCACGCCUCCACAACUCUGAGAACGGAGUCGGCCUCAGCACGACCUCUCUGUAUUCUUGUGAUGCUUGCUUCCUUUUCCUUCUUGGUGAGUAUAUACCAGUAUCAUUAACAAGGCAAUUCAAAAGGACCUCCUGUUCCACCCCACACUACAGGCUAAGGUAGGCCAAGUUCUGUCUCAUUAACAUAAACAUAACCUUCGGAAAACAGAUCAAUUAGUUCAUGAAAGCUGCAUCCGAAAAUGACAUUAAUGGAAAGGGGAAAGGACUGGUUUGAACGAAGCACCGUAGGCUGCCGAUUGCUUCCCUUCUGGGGACACCACAGUCAGGGCUUCUGAGGGACCAGCAAGUCCGUUUCGUAGUUGAUGCCUCGCCCCUGUCUGAAAGCUCCAGUGAGCCACACCAAAGGGCGAGCCUGCAGGCAGAGUGCCCGCCACACACUAUGGUUCAAUUAAACAGGCUGCCCACAGCACUCACUCUCACCAGCCAAACAGGGCAGAGAGCAAGGAGCAGAGGGGCAGGCGUGAGAUUAUAAGUCUUCUUUUGAAGCUUCCAGGAACUGGGAGAACUCCUGACCCUGGGACAGAAAAUCCCUAUCAGGGACACCAGGCAGCCAGGAGACAGGCCCACUCGGAAAGUUCCUUCCCGCUCACGUGAAAGGCUGAGCUAGCUGUGUGCAGUCACCCCACCUGAAGCUGCUCAGAGAAUCACCCUCUUCCUUCACGGGGCACCAGCUUCAAAUGCAACCUGAGAGUACAGGCCUGUUUGGCCAACGUUAAUUUCCAUGAUUUUUUUUCAGAAAGGGGCUCACACUAUAGCCCCACCCAGACUUGAACUCUGGAGCUCAUAGUAAUCCCCUGCCUCAGUCUCCAGAGCACUGGGAUCACAGGCGUGAAUGGCUAUGCAUGGCUCAUGUCAUUUCAGACUCUAGAGAAGGCACCAGAGCUGUGCCUGCUCUAAAUUAAGGAUGUACCCACAGGACGGGCAAACUCAUACAGCCAAGGCACCAGAACGUCCCAAACUGUGGGAUUCGACACCAAAAUGAGGAUCUUAGGGUGAGAGAAAAGACAUCCAAAGAAAAGCACAUUCGAUAAAGAAGUUGUCAACAGAGUGUGGUGGCACAGGCCUGUAAGCCUAGCUAGCACCUGAGAGGUUGAGACAGGGGAAUCAUGGAGAGUUCAAGGCCAACUUGGGCUAUAAUGAUAAGACCCUGUCUCAAACUCUUA